AAUGCUCAACUAAAGCUUUUUUAAAAAAAUAUUUUAAUAUAUUUUAAAAUAAAAAAUACCCUGUAUCACAAUAUCAAACAUUAUACUUUGCACUAUCUCACAAAGUAAUGCUUAACUAAAGCUUUUUUAAAAAAUUAUUUUAAUAUAUUUUUAAAUAAAAAAUAUCCUGCAUCACAAUAUCAAACACGAUUAUUAACAAGAAGCUUAUUUUUUAGCAUAAUUUUAUUUUAGUUUUUUCUUGUUGUGAUCUCAUUAUUUCCUCUCGAAUCCUUAUAAAUGUUAUGAUUUCACAUUAAAAGACGUAAAGACCUAAAAAGUCUCAAAAAAAUGGAUUAAAAUAGCAAUUUAUUAAAUUGUUUGGAGUAACAUUCGAAACUUUAUGAAAAUUAGAAGAAUAACAUCGGGUUUUCACCAAGAUACAUUACAUUAAACAGUGUUUCCUAAUCUCUUUUAAAAUAUUAAAAAGAAUAAAAAAAUAUUGUAAAGAUGGAUGCAGGAAAGAGGGAAGGAUAAAGGAUUGGGACAGAAUUUAUCAACAAAGGAAGCGUUGGGACAAUUCUGCAUGAAUGAAGAAACAGAAUCAAGACAUAAUCCAGGGAACAAGAGCUCCCUAAAUUAAAUUUGAUGAUGGAUAAUUAGAUAUACGGGUGGUUUCUAUUUCUUUUGUCAUGUUCAUAGAAAUAGAAUUUUUUUGAAUGAUCAGCUAUACAGUAAUCACAACUGACUCUAGGAUUUAUGAGGAAAGAUUUUGGAUGCAACGAACAUAAGUAGCCUAGAUGAGUAACAUGGUUUUGUUAGAAGUUGGAAACUUAUAGCACCUUUAAUCAUGUUUGAACUGCUUUUGCACCUUUAGAUAUGGUUGAGUAGUCUAACAUGGAUUAUUCGUAAGCUUAAUGUUUUUUAUGGUAUACUUUUCCUGGUUGCUUAUUUGAUACAAGUUUCUUUUUUAUGUGAUUGGUGGAUGGGUUCCAGCAGAGUGUUAAAGUUUUGCAGGCAAAAUCUAUCUGUUGUGCCCUUGAUAUUUUUCAGUAGCCACCUCAUACUGAAAGAGAAAACCAUUAAUGCUGGCUGUCGAACUUUAAACUCUCCUUUUCUUCACAAAGUUUGAUCUGAAGGUUCUGGGUUUGAAAGAAUUUUUUAUUUCACAGAUUCCACACUUGAGACCUGCUGAAUACAAGAGGGUCUAGAUUGUCCAGGAACCACAGGACUGUGAAUCGUGUCUAUGGUGGUGUGUUGUCGGGAGGUGCUGUUAAAGAGAGGAUUAUUCGAGCCUUCCUGGUGGAGGAGCAAAAUGAUUGUGAAGAAGGUCUUGAAGAUUCAAAAGGCGAAGGAAAAACAAGCCUCAAAGAGCUAAAAGAGAGGUUGGUAAAAUGAAGUCUUCCAAGCGACAUGAUUGCUUGAGCGAAAUUCAACUGAUUAAUCCAAUGAAAUAUCGAAUUGCUUUUGAAUAUUUUGAUUUCAGCUUGUUAGAUAUAAUUUCGGUACCCUGUUUCAUGACAAAUACAAAUGAAUACCUCUGCCUUUUAACAUUCUAGUGUUAUCCACUGAAGUGGGCAACACCACCUGAUCUUUCUCAGGUUGGGAUCUCUAAGUGCUUCCAAUCCGCAUGAUUUUUUUUCUUCUUUUUAUAAGAACUUGCUGCCAUAUCCAGUUGUGCAGUGGUUUGCUUGUAGUUUGUUUCACACAAAAUGGCUCGUCUCUGCUGCUUUGUUUGUC